AAGGUAGAGGUGCUGUUAAUAAAGAGUAGCUAUAAGGAGCUGGCAAGCUUUGAUUUAUAGCAAAAGGUAUUACAGCCGAAGAAAUAGCAUAGGCAUAUUGUUAUUUCUGGGCAUAUAUAAAAAAUAUAUAUGACUGUCACAUUUGUGGAGAGCUACAAG
rnacentral:ncRNA from 1 species